rnacentral:rRNA from 1 species
AUUGAACGCUGGCGGCAUGCUUUACACAUGCAAGUCGAACGGUAACAGGUUAAGCUGACGAGUGGCGAACGGGUGAGUAAUGCAUCGGAACGUGCCCGAACGUGGGGGAUAACGCAGCGAAAGCUGCGCUAAUACCGCAUACGAACUGAGGAUGAAAGCGGGGGACCGUACGGCCUCGCGCGAUCGGAGCGGCCGAUGUCAGAUUAGGUAGUUGGUGGGGUAAAGGCUCACCAAGCCAACGAUCUGUAGCUGGUCUGAGAGGACGACCAGCCACACUGGGACUGAGACACGGCCCAGACUCCUACGGGAGGCAGCAGUGGGGAAUUUUGGACAAUGGGCGAAAGCCUGAUCCAGCAAUGCCGCGUGCAGGAAGAAGGCCUUCGGGUUGUAAACUGCUUUUGUACGGAGCGAAAAGGUCCCCUCUAAUACAGGGGGCUCAUGACGGUACCGUAAGAAUAAGCACCGGCUAACUACGUGCCAGCCGCCGCCGUAA